rfam:Methylosinus sp. 3S-1 3S1contig16, whole genome shotgun sequence.
GCCGCCAUAGCUCAGUUGGUUAGAGCACCAGAUUGUGGAUCUGGGGGUCCCCCGUUCGAGCCGGGGUGGCGGUA